GGCGAACGCUGGCGGCGUGCUUAACACAUGCAAGUCGAGCGGUAAGGCUCCUUCGGGAGUACACGAGCGGCGAACGGGUGCGUAACACGUGAGUAAUCUGCCCUUCACUUCGGGAUAACCACCGGAAACGGUGGCUAAUACCGAAUACGACCAGUCUUCGCAUGAGGUGCUGGUGGAAAGUCUUUUCGGUGAAGGAUGUGCUCGCGGCCUAUCAGCUUGUUGGUGGGGUAAUGGCCUACCAAGGCUUCGACGGGUAGCCGGCCUGAGAGGGUGACCGGCCACACUGGGACUGAGACACGGCCCAGACUCCUACGGGAGGCAGCAGUGGGGAAUAUUGGACAAUGGGCGAAAGCCUGAUCCAGCAACGCCGCGUGAGGGAUGACGGCCUUCGGGUUGUAAACCUCUUUCAGUACCGACGAAGCGCCCUGUCGGGUGGUGACGGUAGGUACAGAAGAAGGACCGGCCAACUACGUG
rnacentral:rRNA from 1 species